GUUUUGGGGGGGGGGGGUUUAAUGGUUUAUUCACAGACUAGUUAGCAGCAGAUCCUGUGGUUACUUUCCUGAAAGAGGAAGUACUUACCUACUGGCCCAGUUUCUUAUUUGCACAAUGUCUGUGACUGUUGCAGUGGAAAAAGCUUGUGGAUUUGGUUAUUGUGCUCUCCUUCUACAGGACUUUAAGAGAAGCUUGUGAAGGUAGCUGGGGAUUUUGAUCGUGCUCUAACUCACUGCAGCCUACCCAGCACAUCCAGGCCGGCUUCAGCACUUCCAAGAGAACAUGCAGAACCAGCCUUCCUGGGGACAGGGACGCAACAAAUGCUGCCUCUAGCCAGGGCGUUCUGCCUUCCAUUCCUCUACACCAGGGUGUUACUGAAGGUGCAAGAGUGCACAAAAAGUUGCUUCAUGCACCUGAAAGACGAGCUAAGGGUUCUCCCCACCCAGAGUUGGGCUUUUCAUUGGGGAAG